rnacentral:pre_miRNA from 1 species
UCUUAUGGAUGAACAAGGAAAGUAAUUUCUCCAGAUGGAAUCUGCUCCUUGUGAAGAUGUUGUGAA